UACGUAGGGGGCGAGCGUUGUCCGGAUUCAUUGGGCGUAAAGCGCGCGCAGGCGGCCGCGAGAGCCCGGCGUGAAAGCCCCCGGCUCAACCGGGGGAGGCCGUCGGGGACCUCGGGGCUGGAGGCCGGUAGGGGCGAGCGGAAUUCCCGGUGUAGUGGUGGAGUGCGUAGAGAUCGGGAGGAACACCGGUGGCGGAGGCGGCUCGCUGGGCCGGUCCUGACGCUCGGGCGCGAAAGCCAGGGGAGCAAACGGG
rnacentral:rRNA from 1 species